GACGAACGCUGGCGGCGUGCUUAACACACGCAAGUCGAACGGUAAGGCCCUUCGGGGUACACGAGUGGCGAACGGGUGAGUAACACGUGGGUGAUCUGCCCUGCACUUCGGGAUAAGCCUGGGAAACUGGGUCUAAUACCGGAUAGGACUCCUGGCUUCAUGGUUGGGGGUGGAAAGCUUUUGCGGUAUGGGAUGGGCCCGCGGCCUAUCAGCUUGGUGGCGGGGUAAUGGCCUACCCAGGCGACGACGGGUAGCCGGCCUGAGAGGGUGCCCGGUCACACUGGGACUGAGAUACGGCCCAGACUCCAACGGGAGGCAGCAGUGGGGAAUAUUGCACAGUGGGCGCAAGCCUGAUGCAGCGACGCCGCGUGAGGGAUGACGGCCUUCGGGUUGUAAACCUCUUUCAGCUAUGACGAAGCGCAAGUGACGGUAGUAGCAGAAGAAGGACCGGCCAACUACGUGCCAGCAGCCGCAGUAAAAC
rnacentral:rRNA from 1 species